UGGGGAAUAUUGGACAAUGGGCGCAAGCCUGAUCCAGCCAUGCCGCGUGAGUGAUGAAGGCCCUAGGGUUGUAAAGCUCUUUCGCCAGGGACGAUAAUGACGGUACCUGGAUAAGAAGCCCCGGCUAACUUCGUGCCAGCAGCCGCGGUAAUACGAAGGGGGCUAGCGUUGUUCGGAAUCACUGGGCGUAAAGCGCACGUAGGCGGAUCUUUAAGUCAGGGGUGAAAUCCCGAGGCUCAACCUCGGAACUGCCUUUGAUACUGGAGGUCUCGAGUCCGGGAGAGGUGAGUGGAACUGCGAGUGUAGAGGUGAAAUUCGUAGAUAUUCGCAAGAACACCAGUGGCGAAGGCGGCUCACUGGCCCGGUACUGACGCUGAGGUGCGAAAGCGUGGGGAGCAAAACAGGAUUAGAUACCCUGGUAGUCCACGCCGUAAACUAUGGAUGCUAGCCGUUGGGCAGCUUGCUGUUCAGUGGCGCAGCUAACGCUUUAAGCAUCCCGCCUGGGGAGUACGGUCGCAAGAUUAAAACUCAAAUGAAUUGACGGGGUCAUAGCUGUUUCCU
rnacentral:rRNA from 1 species